UUUUUUUUUUUUAGGGCUGCACCCAGGGCAUAUGGAGGUUCCCAGGCUCGGGGUCUAAUCCGAGCUACAGCUGUUGGCCUAUGCCAGAGCCACAGCAAUGCCAGAUCCCAGCCAUGUCUGCGACCUAAACCACAGUUCGCUGCAAUGCUGGAUCCUCAUCCCACUGAGCGAGGCCAGGGAUCGAACCCGCAACCUUGUGGUUCCUACUUGGAUUUGUUUCCACUGCUCCACAAUGGGAACUCCAGGAUUUUUUUUUUUAAGGCUAUACCUGCAGCAUAUGGAAGUUCCCAUUCUAGGAGUCAAAUCGGAGCUGCAGCUCUCAGCGUAUGGCACAGCCACAACACCACCAGAUCCAAGCUGCCUCUGAAAAUUUCACCACAGCUCAUAGUAACGCGGGAACCUUAACCCACUGAGUGAGGUCAGGGAUUGAAAUUGCAUCCUCAUGGACACCACGUUGUGUUCUUAACCCUCUGAGCCGCAAUAGGAACUCCCAACAGUUAGGAUUUUUUAGAACAAGGACCUUUUUGGUGCAGAUUUAUGAGAUGUUUUAUUUUCUUUUGAAAAGUAUUGAUUUUGAAAGCCUUCUAAAUAAAUGGCACUGAUCUAUCUAUUCUUGAAUCACUGAGAGUAGGUCACCUGUAGACAGCAAAUGAUUUUUAUUUCCUAGAGGUAUAUUUUGUUGAAGAGAAAACAAAGGCAAAAGAAAGCUUAAUUUAUAAUGCCACAUGAAAUUACUGGAAUUCAGCAUUUAAGAGUUUAUGCUGUAUAUAAUAUGAGAACACACUAGCUUCUGAAAUGAAACAAAUAGACUGAUUCUGUUUUAAUCCAAUAAAUACUAUGAAAUAAACCAUAAACAGAACAAUGAAAAAAAUUCUAUUAAAUAGAGAUAUUUCAUUCACAAUCAUACCAGCUACAUUUCUUAUUUGGUAAUGGUUUAAAAAUUAAAAUAUACAAUUUAAAAUAAUAAAUCAUUAAGGAUACAGAGCUAUUUCUUCUGAGUUAAAAUAGAUUAUGAAAAGGACAACUAAAAUAAGGUCUUUGUUAUUGGUAAAUAUACAUGUAAUAAAGAGUUCCUGUUGUGGCUCAGCAGGUUAAGAGUAUCCAUGAGGUUGUGGUUCAAUCCCUGGUCCUGCUCAGAGGGUUGGGGAUCCAGCAUUGCCAUGAGCUGGGGUGUAUGUCGCAGGCACAGCUCAGUUCAUAGGCUGCUGUGCUGUGUGGCGUAGGCCAGCAACUGUAACUCCCAUUCGACCCAUAGUCAGGGAACUUCUAUACGACACAGAUGUGGCCCUAAAAAAAAACGUAUAGAGCUAAAUAUAAAAAUGGCAAUACAAAGGCCAACAGAUCUUUGGAUAGAGGGAUUUUUUUUUUUACUUCAUGUAUUUCUCAAAUUUAUCUCUUGACUAAAUAUUUCCAAUGACAAAAAUAUUAUGAUACUUUUAAAGACUAGAGUGAGAAUUUUUUCAAAAGUUUACUAACUAAAAUAUCAUAAUAAUUCUUUCCCAGUCCUCCUGUCAACAUUAUCAAUAAAAUAUCACUUGCAAAAAUUUACCAAAUAAAUUAAAUCUCAGGAUAGCAUAAUAUUUUCAACAAUAAAUAUUAGGAAAAUAUAUUUUUGAAAAAAAAUUUAUACAACAGAAAAUGGUUAUUUGUAUAAUAAAUGAAUAGAAAAGUUGAUGUAACUGACAUUAUUAUGAUGUUAUUCUUAUUUAUAUGUCUUUAUGUAAGAUUUUACAUUCUGAUAUAAAUGUUUAAAGUUUGUAUGAGUGAAAACUUGAAAGAGUUUGUAUAAUUGUAAACUGUGGUGAGGCAAAAGUUAGCUAGAAGGAAAACGACUUCAAGUACAGGCAAAAAAAUCAUUUCAAGGACACCAUAUUUUAAGAUGCCGUGAAAAAUGGAAAAGAUUGCUAAGGGGCAAGAAGUCAUAUUUAACCUCACAGACAUUUUAGUCUAACAUUAUAUCAUAUCUAGUUCAAUAAACUCUCAACUGUAAAUAAGGUACCUAUGAAAUACAUUUUGAUACCAAUUUUAGAAAAUUUUCUACCUUGUAUUACCUGGCACAGAUUCUGUAUCAUUCAAUGAAAAUCCAAAAUUUAAAAUUUUUGAAUAAGUAACAGUCUCUGAAAGUUUUGGCAUUAAGAGGGCUUAGUAGAUAGUGACAAGUCGAAUCUUUAGACUUUCCUUAGUAAACAGACGGGAGCUGUUCUUACCAAAAUGUCCAGAGAAAAGUUCAGACAAAAGAAUAGCUCUAAUUUCUUAAGUACAGAGAGGAGAUUAUGGGUUCACACAUUGCAAGUUAACUCUAGCUUACAAAGCAAUCUGAGAAGUAUCAAACUGCAGUCAUAAGAAAAGGUGACGUUUGUACCAUAUGACAGUCUUAUUACAUUCCUAGAGUAGGAUAACAGAGGUCCACUUUCUGUCUCUCUAACCUCUCUCAUAAGAGGGAGUCACUCACAUGCUUGAAUGACCAGAAGGACACAUGGGCAGCAACUGAUUGGUCAUCCAUGCUGACCUCAAGAGAGCUCAGCCUGGCAUGAUGAAACCACUAAGCAUCAAAGAGUAAUCUUCAUUUAGGACCUGAAAUCUAUUCAGUAUGGAUCCUGUUUCACUUUGCACCUUUUGUUUGCAAAACUCUUUGCCCAUUUUGACUUUAGUGUUUCAAAAACUGAUCAAGGUCCAUGGAGUGAAAAGUCAGAUCCACAUUUAUAUUCCUACAUCUCCCAUUUCCUGACUGCAUGACCCUUAUUCAUUUUCUAAAAGUAUGGACACUUAGCAUCCUCAAUUUUCAGGGGAAGAUAGGGCUUCAGCUUCAUGGGAUUUUAUGAAGCUUAAAUGUGCUAAUAUGUGUAAUGUACUAGCACAAAUCUGACACAUACAGAAAUGCCACAGAAGACAAUGAAUAUUAGCCUUUUCAUUCCUUGUUGAUCAUCCUUUCAUGUACUAUAAUUUUCUAAAGAAUGGAGAAUUUCCCUGUUAGACAGAGUCACUUGCUGUAGCAGUGACUGUCAGAGCCAGGGUUUAGAACUCAAGUUCUUAGUGAGAAAUAUGAGAUUUGGAGGGAGGGUAGUUGGAUGAAUGAAAACAGGACUUUGAAAAAGCACCAAACAUUACUCUUAUAUGUCCCACUUGGGGUGAGGGAACUAAAAAUCAAACUAGUGGACUAGCUUAAGUGCAAGGAAAAACAUCAUAUUUAUAAAUUGAGUAUAAGUAAUGUCUGCUACCAAAAAAGUUCAUAUUUUUAGAGUAUUACAAACAAUGUCCCAGUGGAUUUAUUUGUAGGUGGAGUCAUUGACUCAAAAGUAACAUGUGCUAUUCAAUUUGAUAAACUUUUAAAAAUUGCUCACCACCACCAUCACCAGCAAAGUGAACCAGUUUAGAGCCCCACCCACAUAAUAUGAAGACUUUUUUCUUCUAUGUCUUUGCCAACACUCAAUGUUAUCUAUGUUUAAAUGAUACUAUCAUCACCCUUCUCUUAGCCAUCAGCUUCUAUUUCUGUAAUUGAUAGUCCCUAGAAAGGCAGUACAAUGGUUAAAAAUACUGCCUCAGUUCAAAUUCCUCCUUUACCACUUACUUAAUUGUGUGACCUUGAACAAGCCACUUAAAUUCCUGGUGCCUCAGAAUCCUUCUAAGCUUAGUGUGACAAUUAAUUUAUUUUAAAUGAGUUUAUAGUAUUUAUAUUCAGAGAUGAGAACCUAGACCUAUGCAUUAUUAUAGAAAUGUUUAUUAGCAGAAUAUAUAUUAGUUUCCUCUUGCUGCUAAUAACAGACUACCACACAAUUAGUGGCUUCAAACAACAGAAACGCAUUGUUAGAGUUCUGGAGGCCAGAAGUAUGAUUGAGUCCAUGAGAACUAAAUCAUGGUUUCAGAAGGGCUAGUUCCUUGUGAAAACUCCUUAUGAAAAGGAGAGCAUUUGUUCUUCGUCUCUUCCAACUUCAGGUGACUGCCAACAUCCUUUGGUUUCUGGCUGCAGCAGUCCGAUCUGUUUCUAUUGCUACAUUGCCUUUUCUUCUACAGUUAGAUCUCUUCUCUUUGCCUGAUUAUGUGUAUGGCUCAUUAGAAUAAUGCAGAAUAAUCUCUACAUCUCAAGAUCUUUAACUUUAAUCACAUCUGAAAAGACUCUUCAGUCAUAUAAGUCAACAUGUACAGAUUCCAGGGAUUAUAACUUGGCUCUCUUGAGGGGGGGUCUAUAUUUGGUUUUCCACACUACUUUUUAAAACAUUUAGAUUGGAAUGCUUGCAUAUUUCUCAUCUAUUUGUUAACUCUAUAUUUUGGUCUAUAUAUUUUAUCAGUUGGACAAAAUACAAAUAUUUUCUCCCAAUUUGUCUCUCCCUUUUAAAUUUGCUCAUAACCUUCAUAAUAUAAGAAUUUUAAUGAGCAUAUCAUUUAUUACUUAACAUCUCUGUAAGAAGGAAAUAAAGAAAACUUACACAUCUGUAUUAAACAAUGGUAUGCUACCAUUAAAAUAGAGAAGUGGAUCUGUAUUCUAACUUAGGAAAAUAUUCCGCUAAUAUUGUUAAGUGAUGAAGGUAGCCAUUGAUUUAUGUAAAGUAUAAUUUUAUUUUACAUAUGAAAUAUUCUGAAUGAUGCACUCCAAACUUCUUAAGAACUGCCAAAAAUGAUGGCAUUAGGAGUAAGACAAAUUAUUACUUUUUAGUUACUAUUAAUUUUGUUUAAAUACUUAAAUGAUAAAUAUAGUUAUAUGUCACUUCUAUAAUUAAAUCUGAAAUGAGGAUAUUAAAGUCCAAAGAGAAGUAUAUUUAAUUUGCUAAAGAAUUUCAGAGGAAGGAGACAAUUACUUGUCUAGGAGAAUUGAAGGAGGCAACAUUUUAGAAAGGAAACACGCAUUUGAGCACAUACCAGCAAAGUUAAUAGUUUGUUCUAGAAGGCAAUUUAAUUUAAUAGGAAUGAAGGUGAGUGAAGGUGUGAUAGUUAAUUUUAUGUGUAAACUUGACUGGGCUAAAGCAAGCCCAGAGAGCUAAUAAAACAUUAGUUCUGGUUAUGUCUCCGAGGGUGUUGCAGAAAGCAUUUGAAUCAGUAUACUGAGUAAAGAUUUGCCAUCACCACUGUGGCCAGGCCUCAUCCAAGCUGUUGAGGGCCUAAAGAGAACAAAAUUGCAGAGAAAGGGUGAAUUUUCUCUCUUCUUUAGCUGGAAUAUCCAUCUUCUGCCCCUGGACCUGGAAGCUCCUGGUUCUUGGGCCUCAAACUAAGUUAUUCUUCAGGCUUUCCUAGUUCUCUGGCUUGCAGAUGGCAGAAAGAGGGACUUCUGUCUCCAUAACCAUGUGGACCUAUUUUUAUAAUAAAUCUUUAUAAUAAUUUUUUUAAUAAUAAAAUCUCCUGUCGGUUCUCUUCUCUGGGAAAUUCUCAGUAACAUGGAAGGUAAUAAGUAUGGGUAGGUAAGAAGUAAUAAUGAUGAAAUGUUUCAUUUGAAUCAAAUCUUAGAAGGAUUUAAUAUGUCAGAUUUUAGACUUAUUCCUCCUAGGUUAAGACUCCUAAACCAGUGACCAGUGGUAGUCAAUGGCCACUGAGAGUACAACCAAAUUAACCUCAGUAAUUUUAAGGCAAUCCAUGCACAAAGGAAAAUAAGACAACACAUGCAUGAGAGAGCCCUGCUCAGGGUGAUUUUCACCUUACAGUGGGCACAGUCCUAAGCAUCAUCAUUUUCCCAAGUCUCAGUGUCUUAGGACAAACCAUAGGAAAACAAAGGGCCAUAGAUAUGCUGAACCAGCUAUCAAAAAAACAAUGGCAGAGGACAUGUUCAAGAAAAUUUUAUCUGUCUUGAUAAAAAAUAUUUCUUAAAGAAAUGGAUACCAUGAGCAAAAGUAUCACAUAUAUUUAGAGAGAGAGAUACCCAUGCUCUAAAUUGCUAGAAAUUUGAAAGAUUAUAGCACAAAUUAAUUAUA
rnacentral:lncRNA from 1 species